rnacentral:tRNA from 1 species
CAGAUGAAAGCCAACCGGUUAGGCGUCUUCUUUGGGUGAAGAACUUAGUUAGUUCGAUUCUAGCUCAUCUGAUUUAUUA